rnacentral:rRNA from 1 species
GGACUCCGAGUGUGAGGGCAUAUAGCCCUCGCUUUUCUGUACCGUAAGGUGGUACAAGAAUAAGGACCGGGCAAGACCGGUGCCAGCCGCCGCGGUAAUACCGGCAGUCCAAGUGAUGGCCGAUAUUAUUGGGCCUAAAGCGUCCGUAGCCUGCUGUGUAAGUCCAUUGGGAAAUCGACCAGCUCAACUGGUCGACGUCCGGUGGAAACUACACAGCUUGGGGCCGAGAGACUCAACGGGUACGUCCGGGGUAGGAGUGAAAUCCUGUAAUCCUGGACGGACCACCAAUGGGGAAACCACGUUGAGAGACCGGACCCGACGGUGAGGGACGAAAGCCAGGGUCUCGAACCGGAUUAGAUACCCGGGUAGUCCUGGCUGUAAACAAUGCUCGCUAGGUAUGUCACGCGCCAUGAGCACGUGAUGUGCCGUAGUGAAGACGAUAAGCGAGCCGCCUGGGAAGUACGUCCGCAAGGAUGAAACUUAAAGGAAUUGGCGGGGGAGCACCACAACCGGAGGAGCCUGCGGUUUAAUUGGACUCAACGCCGGACAUCUCACCGGUCCCGACAGUAGUAAUGACAGUCAGGUUGACGACUUUACUCGACGCUACUGAGAGGAGGUGCAUGGCCGCCGUCAGCUCGUACCGUGAGGCGUCCUGUUAAGUCAGGCAACGAGCGAGACCCGCACUUCUAGUUGCCAGCAAUACCCUUGAGGUAGUUGGGUACACUAGGAGGACUGCCGCUGCUAAAGCGGAGGAAGGAACGGGCAACGGUAGGUCAGUAUGCCCCGAAUGGACCGGGCAACACGCGGGCUACAAUGGCUCUGACAGUGGGAUGCAACGCCGAGAGGCGACGCUAAUCUCCAAACGGAGUCGUAGUUCGGAUUGCGGGCUGAAACCCGCCCGCAUGAAGCUGGAUUCGG